AGGUUCUAUUUUCGCAGGUCCUUCGCCGGACCAAAUUCUGGCCGUCACCAAUCGGGUGAUGGAGGAUGUGAUGGACCCCGGCCAUCACCCCGGAGGAAAGACUCCAAGAUGCCUUGGAGUUCUUGGACUCUCUUGAUCAGGAAGAAAGAUUGAAUUCCUUAUACAAAGUCAUAAGGAAGGAAAUCAAACGCGUUGUUUGAGAAGGUGUUUCAUAUAUCUGAGUCGAACAUUUAUCGGAUACUUGGAUACUUAUGAAGUUCGAUGGUUGCCACUUGAAUGAUUAGUGGAGAGCUAUACUCGUCUCACAAUAUGAGUGUGACCUUUCAUUUUCAUGUUAGAAUCAACUAUGGUUUCUUUGUAGUGAUUGGCCCAUGGAUGUAGGUAUAAAUAACUUUGCAAAAUGUUAUUUUCUUAUAUUUCUUAAGUUGACUAGGAAUUUUGAAUGAGAAACAUAUAUAUUGAAAGAACUUAACAAGAAAUAUUUUCUUAAUAUUUAUUUUUAAUUUUUAAACAAACAAUAUUAAAGGUCUGGAUAUAUAUUAUUUUAUUCAAUAUUAUAAUUCAUCCUAUGCAUCCCUCCUGCCGAAUCAGACACCAGGAUACGUGUCUGAAUUCAAUUCUCAAAUUCAUGCCCAUGCAAUAGUAGCAUGCACAAGCCUGAAACAAAUGAAAUAGUAUUAAGAUAAAAGAAUCACAUUUUGCCAUUGUGUUACUGAAUCUGUUCUGGCCUUAAUUGAUUGCAGAGUAUCUCAUGAUGAUCUUUUUUUUUUUAAAUUUCACAUUAACUGUGUAUUACUAUAAUUAGCCUUGUUAGCUAUAUCCUUGGAUAUAUUUUGUGUAUCACUUUCAACAACUGUGAGAUCUGUUUCCUUUUAUUUGCAUGACACAGCAAAUUCUAUGUGCUCGUGAUUGAAUUAUCGAUCCUUCUCCGUUAUCUUGUGUUUGUGGGGCCUUUUUUUUGUUUUUUUGAUAUGGGUGUUUGUCUACCUGAUUUCACUGGAAGACAGACAUCACCUGUUUCUCUGAAAUUCCAUCUUUGAUGGCUGAAACUGUUUUCUCAGGUCAUUCUUAUAAACAAGGAGAGAAAAUAGAUGGCUUCAUAUUCGGAGCUGACCCUGGUUUGCCUGUGGAGUCCAACUCUUCUGAGGAAGCCUCCAAGGUCGAUCAGCCGAGAAUUGCCUACCGCUGCAAAAAGUGCUGCAGGGUCGUCGCAUUGCAAGACAAUGUUGUAAGCCAUGUACCAGGCGAGAGCGAGACCUGCUUCGAGUGGCAAAAAAGAAGAAGUGGCAACAUGUUCGACAGGUUUCGGGAGACAGAAUGCUCUUCUUUAUUUGUCGAGCCUUUGAAGUGGAUGAUCUCAGGUAGAACAAUUUGAUCCUUUUUCUUUUCCAGAUCUCUACUUUUCCAAAUUGCGUGCAUUUAUGUUUGGCUGGAAGGAAAGCAAGCCUGGCAACUUGGCUUUAUUGCUUUUCUUGUGACUCGUGACAGUCGAAGAGGGUGCAUUGGAAGGAAAGCUCUCAUGCAUCCAGUGUGAUGCACGCCUAGGGUACUUCAAUUGGUCAGGCAUUCAGUGCAGCUGUGGCAGCUGGAUCACCCCUGCAUUCCAGAUUCAUAAGAGUAAAGUGGAUAUCAGCACAGUUUGAUGUUGAACGAGGAUACCAAAGCAAACAGCAAGACUCCUCUGUGUACAUACGCAAAGCAGCCUCAGAAUCUUAAUGCCUCUUUAAGUAUAUAAUUAAGAACUCAAACCACUGAACCUGGAGUAUUGAUUCAGUUCAUGAUCUUCUUCAUUAGCUUGCUCGCCUGGAGCUAUGUUUGCUUGUACUAGGAUUUUUAUGUCAUGAAGUAAACGAUGUUCUCAUUCGCUCUUCUUGCAACCAGGCUGCAUAAUCUUUUAAUUUCUUGCAGUUGGAGUUGAUAAGAGCUGCUUUAUGUUGAGGUGGCGCAUGUUAUAGCACCUUUGGAGUCGAAUCUAUGUAUAAAUAAAUUGAAAAAUUAGAGCAUGGAGUUAAUGCAAGGAAGCUCCUGUUCAAAGCAUUCUGCUCAGUUCAAGGAUGAGCGAUUUCCUAAAAUUUCAUGUACAUUUAUUUCUGGCCAUACAUUUGAUUGCCGUUAAAAGUCAUGAGAACUCCAUCAUGACCCUUCUGAAUGAUUCUUUAGCAGCCUUAUCAUUUCAAAGAGUACAUGGCGCUUGGGCAAGGUAUUGUAAUCCAUCCAUCAAAUGAAUUCUGAUUAAAUUCUAAUGAGUUCUAGCUGCUAAUUUCUGGUUCGUUCUGUGCAAAGCAUGGAUCUUCGACCCUGUUCUUGCCCCCAACUUCCACCCCUCCCCGCCACCCAUCACCCCCUUCUGCCCCACCAAUGUUCUGAAUAUGGUCAAGUGAUGCUUUGCUGGGACCAUGUAACUAGCAGAUCAGAACAAGUUUUAUACAACUAUUGAUCCUCAAUCCAUACAGAUGCUCAAAAAUUCAAACAUGAUGACCAACGCUUUACUUUCAUAUAUUUGGAAUAUUAAGUGGUCUAUUAAACAUACUAUCACUCAUCAAAGGAUUUGAUUUAUGACAGCUACAAUUUGUUCAGCUAAACUAUAAGCUCUAAAGAUCGGAGCUACCACAUGCCUUCUUUAACAAGAACAUCUAACCAUUCAUGUGUUCAUAUGAUGCCGGUUCGUAUGCAUUACCCUUUUUUUUUUUUAUCUCAAAAGCACAAAACAUCAGAUCAAAACCUUUAAACUGGGGAGGAGCCUGUAAACACCAACACUGAAACCAGAAUGGAGCCGAUCACAGUCGAUGCAGUAUUAAGCUCGGAGACAAAUGAAUAUGGGACCAGUUCACUCGUUAUGCUCGGAUGUCAGAAGAGCAGUGCAGCUAGUCAGUUUUGGAAGUGGUACACUGACAAAAUAAUGCUAUUGAGACUGUGCUUCAAGAAGGAUGUUAGUGGCCACAUUGAUGUCAUUUCCAGCGUGUAUCAGCGCCUGUCUGGCAGAAUUG
rnacentral:lncRNA from 1 species